rnacentral:rRNA from 1 species
AGCAAUACGAAGUAUCCUAGUGGCGAACGGGUGAGUAACGCGUUGGUGACCUACCCCAAAGUGUGGGAUAACAAUCCGAAAGGAUUGCUAAUACCGCAUGUGGUCUCUGGAUUUAGAAACCGGUGACUAAAGGAGCAAUCCGCUUUGGGAGGGGCCUGCGUCCCAUCAGCUAGUUGGUAGGGUAAAAGCCUACCAAGGCAGAGACGGGUAGGGGACCUGAGAGGGUGACCCCCCACACUGGCACUGAAACACGGGCCAGACACCUACGGGUGGCAGCAGUAGGGAAUAUUGCACAAUGGGCGAAAGCCUGAUGCAGCAACGCCGCGUGCGCGAUGAAGGCCUUCGGGUCGUAAAGCGCUUUUUGGGGAGAUGAGGAAGGACAGUAUCCCCAGAAUAAGGCUCGGCUAACUACGUGCCAGCAGCCGCGGUAAAACGUAGGAGCCAAGCGUUAUCCGAAUUCACUGGGCGUAAAGCGUGUGCAGGCGGAUGGAUAAGUUGGAUGUGAAAUCUCCUGGCUCAACUGGGAGAGGCCGUACAAUACUGUCGAUCUAGAGGGCAACAGAGGGAGGUGGAAUUCCCGGUGUAGUGGUGAAAUGCGUAGAUAUCAGGAGGAACACCUGAGGUGUAGACGGCUAUCUGGACCGUAACUGACGCUGAGGCACGAAAGCGUGGGGAGCAAACAGGAUUAGAUACCCUGGUAGUCCACGCCCUAAACGAUGACAACUGGAUGUCGGGAGGG